GAGGGAUCGUGAGACAGUCUCGCAAUUACUGGACUCUGUUGUCACUGGAAGAGGAUGUGCAGCCACCUCAACCGAUGUCAAAGAGAACUCAGAUCCAGGGACACGACAGGAAGCUCAUGAUGAUGGAGAGGUGCCACAUUCAGCUGGAGCAACGAGAUCCACUAAUGAAGAUGAUGGAGGUGGUAACAGUGCCAACUUAGACACUGAUGAUGACACAAGUGAUGUU